CGGAUGCAGACAAGAAGGGCGGCCACUUGGCCACCGUGAAGAAGUCGGGUGGUCUGACUCUGCGCGAAUCCGCGCAGUGCCCUGACGAGGAUGAG
rnacentral:ribozyme from 1 species